rnacentral:rRNA from 1 species
UACGUAGGGGGCAAGCGUUGUUCGGAAUUACUGGGCGUAAAGCGCGUGUAGGCGGUCUUUCAAGUCCGAUGCUAAAGACCGAAGCUCAACUUCGGGGGUGCGUUGGAUACUGUGAGGCUAGACGGUCGGAGAGGGUAGCGGAAUUUCCGGAGUAGCGGUGAAAUGCGCAGAUACCGGAAGGAACGCCGAUAGCGAAAGCAGCUACCUGGACGAUUUGUGACGCUGAGGCGCGAAAGCGUGGGGAGCAAACCGG